rnacentral:rRNA from 1 species
AUGGAAAAGGUAUGUCGAAGUUUGCAGGAAUUAGGCGGAUCGAGAGCUGAGGAAUUUUGCUCGGAGGAUUUACUUCGAGGGCACGGAGUUGGAGCGGGCCAGGAUGCUGCUGCCAUCCGCGCCGCCGGUGACAUUUGUAACAUGGGCGAAGCUGGAGGCGAAAUAGGAAGAUCCACAGUGCAGUGCAAGGUGGGAGUGUGUGGUGGGUUUGAUGCCCACCAAAGUUCCAUCGCCGCCAAAGCCUGUGGAUCUGCUGCCCUUCCUCUCGCCCAAACCGGCGAUGGACUGAGAGCACCACAGCAGGGUGGGGGCUGA